UCAGUCAAAGAAAACAGUCACCUUUUAAUUGUCUUUUAUUACAAUUACACUAAAGUCUGCUCUAUUACUAUUAGGGCAAGUGGAUGACCUGUUUAUAUUUCACAAGACAUACCAUGGCCAAGUAGUUUGCUCCCAAUUAUUGCCUUGUCAACUCUAACCUUUUCCUGUCAAGUCAAUUUGGGCAAAUUCAUGUCAUCAAUAUUUGAUUAAAACUCAAAAUGGAGUAAAAAUGGGGUCACAUUGUUAUCUCUAUGGCAAUUUGUGCUGUGUGACAUACAGUGACUGUUGUCUUCUACUCUCUCUGACGGCAAGCUGUGAAACUAACUUGCUUUUCAUUUUUUUCCCCUUUUUAUCUCGCCUCCAUAGGUCCUUGAACAUGAAACUGCUGCGCCGCUUAAAUUACAUCUCAACGUGCAUCUUGAUGCAUUGAAAAUGGUUACACUUCUACACAUGUGCACAGUUUCACAACAAAGAAUCCCUAUACGUCUCGAAGAGAGUGCUGAGUGUGCCGUGACAUUGAUGGUUAAUCCCACUAGAGCACUUGUACAAAUCUACAGUGGGCUGAAGAAGUUAUCUUUGUGCUGGGCUGACCAUGAUGCUGUGAUGAAGUCUCCGCUGGCACAGUAAUGCUCAUUAAAGACGACACCGGAGGGACAAGCCCUCAAUCCUCAUCUUCUGCCCUACAUUUCCCUUCUCAAUUUCCCACGACCCGACAAGGAGUGGCCAGCAGGAGUUACCACAAAUUCCCUCCAGCGGCACCUGUCUUCCACACCACAUCCCCAAAGCCUGUGCUUCUUUACGGGAAGCGCGAGACCCCGACUGACAGCGCCUCACUUCCUGCUGGGGUGUUAACAUGUGCCGCAGGGACUCCUAUAAC